rnacentral:lncRNA from 1 species
AAGUGAAGAGAGAUUUAGUGUGCUUAGGAGGGGAUUAGGAGUGAUUGAUCCAUGCUAGUGGUGUUUUCCACUAGUUCAUUGAUUUUGAUGAUUGGAUUGUGGUUAAUUUAGAGUUUCUUUACAAUGAUCAUCAAAUCAGAUCAUAACUUAGUGAUUUUUCCUCAUUCGGCACGAACAUAGCAUGAUUUUUAGGUGCGUGCCAGAGUUCGAGACGACUCGAGUAAGUUUCAGAGUCGGCUCGUAAGGGGGAGUCGACCCGCACAUUUACGGGAGUCGACUCGAGAUCAAUGGCCGCAGAGGGUGAGUCGACUCGCAUACAGUCGGGAGUCGACUCAAGGUCAAUAGGCGCAUAAGGAGAGUCGACUCGCGCAUACUUUGGAGUCGACUCGAGGUCGAGUCGACUCGCGACUCAGAGGAGUCGACUCGCAGUCGGGAUCCGACUU